CUUUCUGCGAAACUGAACACAAGAAAAUCUUGGAGGAUCAAACAUUGAUAGUGCUGUGGGCAAUGAGAACCAAAAUUUCGGAGCAAGAAAGAAAGAUGUUUUUAUUCAACGAUAUUCAAGAAAUUUGAGUGCCAAUAUACAACAAAUUUAUUUACUAUAUUCAUGUUGCUUUGUGCACCCCAAUACAAAUAAGAAACAUAGGCGGGGUGAUCACAAAAUUUCAAAUCUUUACAACUGAUGCUUCCUCAGUCAUAGAUCUGGAAAAGAACCUAAUUAAACAUAUUCAUCGUAGUCGAAGAAGUUGCCGGAGAUUGUCCAUGACACUGAUGCUUCCUAAAUCAUAGAUCUGGAAAAGAACCUAAUUAAACAUAUUCAUCGUAGUCAAAGAAGUUGUCGGAGAUUGUCCAUGACCCCGGCAUCUGCUUUGCAGCUGUACGAAAAAGGUUGGCAAAGGCAAAUCUUGAUGCGAUAAAGAAGAUUAGGUGACAUAUGAAUCAUUGGAGUCGAAGAAGUCGUCGGAGAUUGUUGGUAGCUCCGAUAUCGACUUCUGCAGCCUCGGCACUGCAGCUGAGCUUUGGCCUUAAUGAAAAAGUGGGCAAAGGCAAGCUGCUUGGUGGGGGAGAAAGUAUGGACACCACUGAACCUGAAAACCUGUCAACCUGAUUUUCCACUGCUUCAAGAGAACAACUGUCAGUAGUACUAAUAAUAUUGUUAGUAGACACAAAUUUAGCAACAUGUUUGGGCAAAUCCUUUGGGUUUGGCCCCCAAGGUAAUUUAAUCAGACAUUGUGAGGUGGGACUAUUGGUGGAUUGUUUUGAUUUCUUGAAGGUGUGGGAUGGAUUUUGAUCUCUCGUUCCGUUAUAUUUGGUUUUUCUAUUGACAUUUCUAUGUUUUUGGUAAGCAGUCGUCUGGACGUGGUCGCUGAGGCUUCCUUUUUGAGGAGGCAUCCUGAUCCCUCUUCGAGAUACAGUGUUGUUGUGGGAAUUGCUUGUCGGAAGAGGAAGAAAAUAUGGCUUUAGACCACAAUCAGAGGAAGUUGAAAUGGUGUGGGGUUUGAUUUUCUUAUAAUUUCUGAUGUGGGAUUUGUAGGGAGAAAGAAUUGCCUCCAUGAAAUUUCUGAUUAUCAAAGAUCAGCAACUUGUCAGAACAGAAAAAUAAAGGAAAUAGACGAUCAAGGAUCAACAACCCAAUCUGUAUUGCAAUCUGCACAUAUAUCUACAACAGAACAAUAUCAAACGAUUUAUAAGAAAUUAGAUAAAUUCUUCAAACAUGCAAGAAAAAUAUAAGAACGCAAGAAAUUCAUAAUGAAAAGAAAAAUCAGAAACCCAGAUAGAUUAGAUUCCAGCUAGUAUGUGUGUGUGAAAAAAAUUCAAAAUUUUCUCUACAGUAAAAAGAGAGAAAUGCAAUAAUUAUAUGAUUGUGGAAAAAAUUAGAAACCCAGAUGGGAUUUGAACUUAUAUAUUCAGAAGGCAAAUUCCUUGAAAAUGUUUGAUAUGUAAAUAAAUUAAGAACCCAAAUCGGGUUUUAGAUUUCUGAUUUGAGAAAACAAAUUUCUUGAAUCUGUUUUAUGGUCCUUUAAAUAGAGGAAAUCUUUAACGGCUACUUUUUUUUUUAUUUGUUUAUUUGUGUUUUCUACAGCCAAUCCUAGACAUGCAUGACUACGUUAAAAC
rnacentral:lncRNA from 1 species